GACGAACGCUGGCGGCGUGCUUAACACAUGCAAGUCGAGCGAUGAAGUUCCUUCAGGAACGGAUUAGCGGCGGACGGGUGAGUAACACGUGGGUAACCUGUCUCAUAGAGGGGAAUAGCCUUUCGAAAGGAAGAUUAAUACCGCAUAAGAUUGUAGCUUCGCAUGGAGUAGCAAUUAAAGGAGUAAUCCGCUAUGAGAUGGACCCGCGUCGCAUUAGCUAGUUGGUGAGGUAACGGCUCACCAAGGCGACGAUGCGUAGCCGACCUGAGAGGGUGAUCGGCCACAUUGGGACUGAGACACGGCCCAGACUCCUACGGGAGGCAGCAGUGGGGAAUAUUGCACAAUGGGGGAAACCCUGAUGCAGCAACGCCGCGUGAGUGAUGACGGUCUUCGGAUUGUAAAACUCUGUCUUCAGGGACGAUAAUGACGGUACCUGAGGAGGAAGCCACGGCUAACUACGUGCCAGCCGCCGCAGUAA
rnacentral:rRNA from 1 species